CAAUAGCGUAUAUUAAAGCUGUUGCGGUUAAAAAGCUCGUAGUUGGAUUUCUGUCAAGGACAACUGGUCCGCCCUCCGGGUGAGCACAUAGUUUGGUCUUGGCAUCUUGCUGGAAACUGUUGCUGCGCUUGGUUGUGUGGUGCAGCUUUCAGCACUUUCACUUUGAGGAAAUUGGAGUGUUUCAAGCAGGCACAUGCCUUUGGACACAGUAGCAUGGAAUAAUUAGAUUGGGCUUUUGCUCCAACUUGUUGGUUCCUGGAGCUGAGGUGAGAAUCAAUGGGGAUUGUUGGGGGCAUCCGAAUUUAGCCGUCAGAGGUGAAAUUCUUGGAUCUGCUAAAGACGGACAACUGCGAAANCGNNNGCGCAGGAUGUUUUCAUNGA
rnacentral:rRNA from 1 species